GGGAUAAACGCUGGCGGCGUGCCUAACACAUGCAAGUCGAACGUCUCUUCUUUCGGGAAGAGGAGUGGCGGACGGGUGAGGAACACGUGGGAACCUGCCCUACAGUGAGGAAUACCGGCGAGAAAUCGCCGACAAGACCGCAUAGCCCUCUCUGGUGAGAGCCAGAGAAGGAAAGCUUCGCAAGAGGCGCUGGAGGAGGGGCCUGCGUCCGAUUAGCUAGUUGGUGGGGUAAGAGCCUACCAAGGCGUCGAUCGGUAGCUGGUCUGAGAGGACGAUCAGCCACACUGGGAUUGAGAACGGCCCAGACUCCUACGGGGGCAGCAGUGAGGAAUUUUCGGCAAUGGACGAAAGUCUGACCGAGCGACGCCGCGUGGAGGAUGACGCCUUUCGGGGUGUAAACUCCUUUUCUGCGGGAAGAUAAUGACGGUACCGCAGGAAUAAGCACCGGCUAACUACGUGCCAGCAGCCGC
rnacentral:rRNA from 1 species